UGGGGAAUAUUGCACAAUGGACGAAAGUCUGAUGCAGCAACGCCGCGUGGAGGAUGACACAUUUCGGUGCGUAAACUCCUUUUAUAUGAGAAGAUAAUGACGGUAUUAUAUGAAUAAGCACCGGCUAACUCCGUG
rnacentral:rRNA from 1 species